rnacentral:rRNA from 1 species
UACGAAGGGUGCGAGCGUUAUUCGGAAUCACUGGGCGUAAAGGGUGCGUAGACGGUCCAUUAAGUUUGUUGUUAAAGACUCUAGCCUAACUGGAGGGUUGCAAUGAAAACUGGUGAGCUAGAGGGUGAGAGAGAGAAGUGGAAUUCCCGGAGUAGCGGUAAAAUGCGUGGAUCUCGGGAGGAACACCAAUGGCGAAGGCAGCUUCUUGGCUCAUUCCUGACGUUGAGGCACGAAAGCGUGGGGAGCAAACAGG